GGGCCCGUAGUUUCAUAUAGUUAAAACUUUGCCUUUGACAAGCAACAUAGCGGGUGCAAGUCCCGCCGGGUCCA
rnacentral:tRNA from 1 species